rnacentral:rRNA from 1 species
GACGUAGGGCGCGAGCGUUGUCCGGAUUUAUUGGGCGUAAAGAGCUCGUAGGCGGCUUGUCGCGUCGUCCGUGAAAACCUGCAGCUCAACUGCAGGCUUGCGGGCGAUACGGGCAGGCUAGAGUUCGGUAGGGGAGACUGGAAUUCCCGGUGUAGUGGUGAAAUGCGUAGAUAUCGGGAGGAACACCAGUGGCGAAGGCGACUUCCUGGCCUGUUCUUGACGCUGAGGCGCGAAAGCUAGGGUAGCAAACGGG